rnacentral:sRNA from 1 species
GCCAGGCAUGGUGGUGCAUGUCUGUAAUCCCAGUGGCUUGGGAGGCUGAGGCAGGAGGAUCAUGAGUUCAAACCCAGCCUCAG